rnacentral:rRNA from 1 species
GUGCCAGCAGCCGCGGUAAGACAGAGGGGGCAAGCGUUGCUCGGAAUCACUGGGCGUAAAGGGCGCGUAGGCGGGAUGGCAAGUCGGUCGUGAAAUCUCUCGGCUCAACCGAGAAACGUCGGCCGAUACUGCCGUUCUUGAGGGAUGCAGAGGAGACUGGAAUUCCCGGUGUAGCGGUGAAAUGUGUAGAGAUCGGGAGGAACACCGGUGGCGAAGGCGGGUCUCUGGGCAUUUCCUGACGCUGAGGCGCGAAAGCGUGGGGAGCAAACGGGAUUAGAUACCCCGGUAGUCCACGCUGUAAACGAUGACGACUAGGUGUGGGGUGGUUCAGUCCACUCCGUGCCGCAGCUAACGCAUUAAGUCGUCCGCCUGGGGAGUACGGCCGCAAGGUUGAAACUCAAAGGAAUUGACGG